rnacentral:rRNA from 1 species
CGAGGGGCAGCAUAUGGAUAGCAAUAUCUAUGUGGCGACCGGCGCACGGGUGCGUAACGCGUAUGCACCUACCUUUAACAGGGGGAUAACACUGAGAAAUUGGUACUAAUACCCCAUAAUAAGGCAUCUUGAAAAUUCCGAUGGUUAGAGAUGGGCAUGCGUUGUAUUAGCUAGUUGGUGGGGUAACGGCUCACCAAGGCGACGAUACAUAGGGGGACUGAGAGGUUAACCCCCACACUGGUACUGAGACACGGACCAGACUCCUACGGGAGGCAGCAGUGAGGAAUAUUGGACAAUGGACCAGACGUUGACCCCGCCAUGCCGCGUGCAGGAUGACGGCUUAUGAGUUGUAAACUGCUUUUGUACGAGGGUAACGCAGAUACGUGUAUCUGUCUGAAAGUAUCGUACGAAUAAGGAUCGGCUAACUCCGUGCCAGCAGCCGCGGUAAUACGGAGGAUUCAAGCGUUAUCCGGAUUUAUUGGGUUUAAAGGGUGCGUAGGCGGUUUGAUAAGUUAGAGGUGAAAUUUCGGGGCUCAACCCUGAACGUGCCUCUAAUACUGUUGAGCUAGAAAGUAAUUGCGGAAGGCGGAAUGUAUG